AGAGAGUUAGUAUAUCAUCAGAAUAGGUAGUUUGAAACUACCAGGUAGGGGGACCGAUGCCCUUACUCUCUG
rnacentral:tRNA from 1 species